CAAUAGCGUAUAUUAAAGUUGUUGCAGUUAAAAAGCUCGUAGUUGGAUUUCUGGUGGGAGCGAUCGGUCUGGCGCUUAGCGCGAGUACUUGCAUCGUCUCCGGCCACCCUUGGGGAGAGUCUGUCUGGCAUUAGGUUGUCGGGCAGAGGAUCCUCAUCGUUUACUGUGAAAAAAUUAGAGUGUUCAAAGCAGGCUUAUGCCGUUGAAUAUAUUAGCAUGGAAUAAUAAGAUAGGACUUUGGUACUAUUUUGUUGGUUUGCGCACCAAAGUAAUGAUUAAUAGGGACAGUUGGGGGUAUUCGUAUUCCGUUGUCAGAGGUGAAAUUCUUGGAUUUACGGAAGACGAACUACUGCGAAAGCAUUUACCAAGGAUGUUUNCAUUAA
rnacentral:rRNA from 1 species